UUCCUGAAGAGCCAUAGAGAUAAGGUAGGACAGAGAAGGAAGGGUCCUUCUCUAUCCUGCCUUAUCUCUAUGGCUCUUCAGGAG
rnacentral:miRNA from 1 species